CUGCGGAGGGAUCAUUACCGAG
rnacentral:rRNA from 1 species